rnacentral:rRNA from 1 species
CCUACGGGGGGGCAGCAGUGGGGAAUAUUGGACAAUGGGGGCAACCCUGAUCCAGCCAUGCCGCGUGUGUGAAGAAGGCCUUCGGGUUGUAAAGCACUUUCAGUGAGGAAGAAGGCCUGCGGGUUAAUAGCCGGCAGGAAGGACAUCACUCACAGAAGAAGCACCGGCUAACUCCGUGCCAGCAGCCGCGGUAAUACGGAGGGUGCGAGCGUUAAUCGGAAUUACUGGGCGUAAAGCGCGCGUAGGUGGCUUGAUAAGCCGGUUGUGAAAGCCCCGGGCUCAACCUGGGAACGGCAUCCGGAACUGUCAGGCUAGAGUGCAGGAGAGGAAGGUAGAAUUCCCGGUGUAGCGGUGAAAUGCGUAGAGAUCGGGAGGAAUACCAGUGGCGAAGGCGGCCUUCUGGACUGACACUGACACUGAGGUGCGAAAGCGUGGGUAGCAAACAGGAUUAGAUACCCCAGUAGUC